GGCAUGGAGCCGUAGCUCAGUGGUAGAGCAUCUGCUUCCCAUGCAGAAGGCCCCAGGUUCACUCCCUGGCAUUUGCCA